rnacentral:rRNA from 1 species
CACGUAAGGGGCAAGCGUUGUCCGGAUUUAUUGGGCGUAAAGAGCGUGUAGGCGGUUAGGUAGGUCCGUUGUGAAAACUCGAGGCUCAACCUCGAGACGCCGAUGGAAACCAUCUGACUAGAGUCCGGAAGAGGAGAGUGGAAUUCCUGGUGUAGCGGUGAAAUGCGCAGAUAUCAGGAAGAACACCCGUGGCUAAGGCGGCUCUCUAGUACGUGACUGACGCUGAGACGCGAAAGCGUGGGGAGCGAACAGG